rnacentral:tRNA from 1 species
GCCCAGAUGGUGAAAUUGGUAGACACGUUGGCUUCAGGAGCCAAUGCUCGUAAGGGUGUGCAGGUUCGAGUCCUGUUCUGGGCA